rnacentral:rRNA from 1 species
UACGAAGGGUGCAAGCGUUACUCGGAAUUACUGGGCGUAAAGCGUGCGUAGGUGGUUUCUUAAGUCUGCUGUGAAAGCCCCGGGCUCAACCUGGGAAUUGCAGUGGAUACUGGGGAGCUAGAGUGCGGUAGAGGGUAGUGGAAUUCCCGGUGUAGCGGUGAAAUGCGUAGAGAUCGGGAGGAACACCAGUGGCGAAGGCGGCUACCUGGACCAGCACUGACACUGAGGCACGAAAGCUAGGGGAGCGAAUGGG